rnacentral:lncRNA from 1 species
UUGGAAGUUUAAUUUAUUAAAACAAAAAUCACACACACGCCCACACAAGGUGUGCGUGUGAUCGAGCAGGAGAAAAGGGGAAGGGGUGUAAACCCUAACCUACAUGAAAUAAUCAAAUUGGAAAAGGAUUUGAAGGUUAAUUGGAUGCAUGAACCAAGAUUUAUGAUCACUCAAGCGUUCUUGACACCAAGAUAGGAAUCCCAAAUUGACAUGGACUCAAGUAUGGAAAGCUAACGGGUUAAGCGGAGGUGAGGAAGCAAGCAUGAACACUAAUGCUUAAGGUAAGUGAUUCCGUAAUCACUUCUUAGUU